rnacentral:rRNA from 1 species
UACGGAGGUGGCAAGCGUUGUUCGGAAUUACUGGGCGUAAAGGGCGCGUAGGCGGUUCGUUAAGUCCUGUGUGAAAUCCCCCGGCUCAACUGGGGAACUGCACAGGAAACUAGCGGGCUUGAGUUCGGGAGAGGGAAGCGGAAUUCCGGGUGUAGCGGUGAAAUGCGUAGAUAUCCGGAGGAACACCGGUGGCGAAGGCGGCUUCCUGGACCGACACUGACGCUGAGGCGCGAAAGCUAGGGGAGCAAACGGG